AACGAACGCUGGCGGCAUGCCUAACACAUGCCAGUCGAACGAGACCUUCGGGUCUAGUCGCGCACGGGGGCGUAACGCGUGGGAACAUGCCUAUAGGUCUGGCAUAACUUGGGGAAUUUCGAGCUAAUACCGGAGGUUAUCCUCCGUCCAAAGUUUUAUCGCCUUUGGAUGGGCGUGCGUUGGAUUAGCUUGUUGGUGGGGUAAAUGCCUACAAAGGCGAGGAUACAUAGAUGGUUAGAGAGGAGGGUCAGCCACACUGGGAGUGAGACACGGCCCAGAAUCCUACGGGAUGGAGCAAUGGGGAAUAUUGGACAAUGGGCGAAAGCCUGAUCGAGCUAUGACGCGUGAGUGAUUAAGGCCUUAGGGUAGUAAAGCUCGUUUACCCGAGAUGAUAAUGACAGUAUCGGGAGAAUAAGCGCCGGCUAACUUCGUG
rnacentral:rRNA from 1 species